UUUCCGUAGGUGAACCUGCGGAAGGAUCAUUAUUGGAUUUUGAAACUUCAGGCUGCUGCUGGCUCUCCUCGGAGGGCAUGUGCACGCUUGUUGUCCAUUAUUUCUCCCACUGUGCACAAAUUGUAGACCUUUCAGUAGGCCUAUGUUGUUUUUCACAAUCUCUGAAUGUAAUAGAAUGGUUUUGAAUCUUGGGAAAUACAAUACAACUUUCAGCAACGGACCUCUUGGCUCUCACAUCGAUGAAGAACGCAGC
rnacentral:misc_RNA from 1 species